GACGAACGCUGGCGGCGUGCUUAACACAUGCAAGUCGAACGGUGAACCCCUUCGGGGGGGAGUCAGUGGCGAACGGGUGAGUAACACGUGAGCAACCUGCCCCUCGACUCUGGGAGUAACCCCGGGAAACCCGGAGCUAAUACCGGAUACGACACGCUGGGGCGAUCCGGUGCGUGUGGAAAGAUUUAUCGGUUGGGGAUGGGCUCGCGGCCUAUCAGCUUGUUGGUGGGGUAACGGCCUACCAAGGCGACGACGGGUAGCCGGCCUGAGAGGGCGACCGGCCACACUGGGACUGAGACACGGCCCAGACUCCUACGGGAGGCAGCAGUGGGGAAGUAUUGCGCAAUGGGCGAAAGCCUGACGCAGCGACGCCGCGUGAGGGAUGAAGGCCUUCGGUUGUU
rnacentral:rRNA from 1 species